UAAAGCUCAGCUAGACAAGCUCAGCUAACGUUAGCUGUGCUCAAGAUGAAUGAAGAGGACAAGUCGCAACGUCACAGCUACAGGAAAUACAAAAAAGCCUCUCCAGGUGAUUGGUGGAUGACUGGAAACAGCUCGCGUGCUGAAGCCACUUCCUCUUCCUCCUCAGACCAGAGCCAGUGGCUCAUUCAUCACAUUUAAAAGGAGUCCUGGACAUCUCAACAACAAAUCUGUUAGAGAAUGAGACCUUGUUAAAGCCAGAAGCGGCAAACUUUAAAUCUACAUAAAUGUCUUUAUUCUUUCCGAUUCAUUUAUUAUUAUUUAUUUUUUUUAUUAAGGUUUUAAAUCCUGUACCCAAACACUAGUUCCAGUGUCUGCAUCUGUCAGCACAUGGCAACAAAAACCACACAAACACUGCAGCCUAUCUGGUUUCACAGACGGGACACAA